CGUGCUCCGGGCAGCCCUCGGCUGGCCGUGAUUAACGCUCAUUAGCUGUUGUCCCUGGGCUCGAUACCGCCCGCCCCCACCGCCCGUGCCGCUUGUCGCCGGACUGACCCGAGAGCUCGAGUCCUGGGUCGCCCAGGGACACGGGAUGGAAAAUGUCAAAUCCACUCGCGGAGUUGUUUGUGCAGGGCUGGAGUGCCGUGCCUGAUGCUUCGGGAGCCCAAGGUGUGAGAGGAGUGUCAAAAGCACGAGCGGAACCUCCUGCAUGAGGGAAAAGAGUGCAGGCAAUAUCAGCACUAACACCGCGGCAGCCGAAGUACCGAGGGAAACCUCGGAAUCACCACACCAUUUGCAGCUAACAAUUUCACCUGUAUAAACACGGUAUCCUAAACACAGACCUUCAUCACAGUAAAAUCACAGAAAGAUACCUCACACCAACAGACUGAAGAAAAACAACAGGUGGAUGCAGAAGAAACCCACUCAGAGCAAUGCUUCAGCUACUGUGUGAGUUACAGUAACCAUCAGAACAUGAGACCAUCUGAGCCAAAAUUCCUGCUGUUUUUAGUCCUUACAAGUCUCAUUUGAGAUGAAUGAUUGGUAUUCUCCAACCAAAGGGACAGUCAAGGUAACAAGUCACAAGGAAGCUGGAAUUCCCAACCAAUCUGAAUACUUAGACCUGGCCAUCUCCCUUAACUGCUCCUUCUUGUUGGUAAUAAUGCUG
rnacentral:lncRNA from 1 species